rnacentral:rRNA from 1 species
UGCUAAUACCGCAUGACAUAUCAGAAUCACAUGAUUUUGAUAUCAAAGAUUUAUCGCUUGAAGAUGGACUCGCGUCCGAUUAGUUAGUUGGUGAGGUAACGGCUCACCAAGACCGCGAUCGGUAGCCGGACUGAGAGGGUGAACGGUCACAUUGGGACUGAGACACGGUCCAGACUCCUACGGGAGGCAGCAUG